rnacentral:SRP_RNA from 1 species
CGGGCCUUGAUGGACUACGUGGGCGAGCGCGCCGUGGAGCGCUCCACUGCUGAAUGGGUCCAGCUGGACGUGCUCCGAA